CCCAAUCCUAACUUCAUUAAUGUGUUUGAAAAGCCUAUAUCCAUCUAAUGAGUGUUCUAGGGCCUAACUAAGGGUGCCUUGAUCAACAAGCCUUCUCGAGAAGACUAAAAGAGUAUUGUUGACUGCCUACAUUUAAUGCAUUGGAGCCCUACGAAUCCUAAGAACUCAUUACUUACAGUAGAAUAGGACUUCUCAUAAUAGCUGAUGGAGAGAAAACUUCAAUCUAGCUCAACGGUCUUAAUAGAUAGCAAGGAGUGGCGGAGCCCCUAUCAAUAGCCGAGUACUUGACAACGCAUGGCAUUUUCUAAUUGGUCUAAAAGACUAUAUAUUCUUUGUAAGCCUUGAGUAUGUAUUCACUUCUUGACUCUCAUAAAAUCCAACCCAUUUACUUCUUACAUUUAUUUAGUCUCACACUUCCACAUCCCACUAAUUUAACCAUUAAAGUAUCAAGUAAGGGAGUCCUUCUUGGCUCUCUAAUUUCUGUACGUGAUUGCAGAG
rnacentral:misc_RNA from 1 species